rnacentral:miRNA from 1 species
ACCAUGGGGGAUGUGAAGCUGGUUGCCUCGUCACACAUUUCCAAAACCUCCCUCAGUGUGGAUCCCUCAAGAGUUGACUCCAUGCCCCUGACAGAGGCCCCUGCUUUCAUUUUGCCCCCUCGGAACCUCUGCAUCAAAGAAGGAGCCACCGCCAAGUUCGAAGGGCGGGUCCGGGGUUACCCAGAGCCCCAGGUGACAUGGCACAGAAACGGGCAACCCAUCACCAGCGGGGGCCGCUUCCUGCUGGAUUGCGGCAUCCGGGGGACUUUCAGCCUUGUGAUUCAUGCUGUCCAUGAGGAGGACAGGGGAAAGUAUACCUGUGAAGCCACCAAUGGCAGUGGUGCUCGCCAGGUGACAGUGGAGUUGACAGUAGAAG